AGGACGAACGCUGGCGGCGUGCCUAACACAUGCAAGUGGAGCGACGAACCAGGCUUCGGCCUGGGGCAAAGCCGCGAACGGGUGAGUAACACGUGGGUAACCUGCCCCGAUGAUUGGGACAACCCGAGGAAACUCGGGCUAAUACCGAAUGUGCCCUCCGACCAUAAGGUCGCUGGGGAAAGGAAGCUUCGGCCUCCGCAUCGGGAUGGGCCCGCGGCCCAUUAGCUUGUUGGUGAGGUAACGGCUCACCAAGGCUUCGAUGGGUAGCUGGUCUGAGAGGACGAUCAGCCACACUGGGACUGAGACACGGCCCAGACUCCUACGGGAGGCAGCAGUGGGGAAUCUUGCGCAAUGCGCGAAAGCGUGACGCAGCAACGCCGCGUGGGGGAAGAAGGCCUUCGGGUUGUAAACCCCUUUCAGUUGGGACGAAGCUUCGUCGGUGAAUAGCCGGCUGGAGUGACGGUACCUUCAGAAGAAGCCCCGGCUAACUACGUGCCAGCAGCCGC
rnacentral:rRNA from 1 species